rnacentral:rRNA from 1 species
UACGAAGGGUGCUAGCGUUGUUCGGAAUCACUGGGCGUAAAGCGCGCGUAGGCGGCUUCUCAAGUCAGGGGUGAAAUCCUUGGGCUCAACCCAAGAAUUGCCUCUGAAACUGUGAAGCUGGAGUACUGGAGGGGAUAGCGGAAUUCCUAAUGUAGAGGUGAAAUUCGUAGAUAUUAGGAGGAACACCGGUGGCGAAGGCGGCUAUCUGGACAGUAACUGACGCUGAGGCGCGAAAGUGUGGGGAUCAAACAGG